UACGGAGGGUGCAAGCGUUAUCCGGAUUCACUGGGUUUAAAGGGUGCGUAGGCGGGUAGGUAAGUCAGUGGUGAAAUCCCCGAGCUCAACUUGGGAACUGCCGUUGAUACUAUCUAUCUUGAAUGUUGUGGAGGUGAGCGGAAUAUGUCAUGUAGCGGUGAAAUGCUUAGAUAUGACAUAGAACACCAAGUGCGAAGGCAGCUCGCUACACAAUUAUUGACGCUGAGGCACGAAAGCGUGGGGAUCAAACAGG
rnacentral:rRNA from 1 species